rnacentral:misc_RNA from 1 species
GAUGAAGAACGCAGCGAAAUGCGAUAAGUAAUGUGAAUUGCAGAAUUCAGUGAAUCAUCGAAUCUUUGAACGCACAUUGCGCCCGUCAGUAUUCUGGCGGGCAUGCCUGUUCGAGCGUCAUUACGCCCCUCAAGUCCCCUGUGGACUUGGUGUUGGGGAUCGGCGAGGCUGGUUUUCCAGCACAGCCGUCCCUUAAAUUAAUUGGCGGUCUCGCCGUGGCCCUCCUCUGCGAAGUAAAACACUCGCAACAGGAGCCCGGCGCGGUCCACUGCCGUAAAACCCCCCAACUUUUUAUAGUUGACCUCGAAUCAGGUAGGACUACCCGCUGAACUUAAGCAUAUCAAUAAGCGGAGGA